AGGGCUUGACAUAUAGAUGAAUAUAUAAGAGAUUAUAUAGUAUUUCGGUACAUCUAUACAGGUGGUGCAUGGUUGUCGUCAGCUCGUGUCGUGAGAUGUUAGGUUAAGUCCUGCAACGAGCGCAACCCCUGUACUUAGUUGCCAGCAUGUAAAGAUGGGAACUCUAAGUAGACUGCCGGUGAUAAAUCGGAGGAAGGUGGGGACGACGUCAAAUCAUCAUGCCCUUUAUGUCCUGGGCUACACACGUACUACAAUGGCUACAACAAAGAGAAGCGAGACGGAGACGUUAAGCGAAACCCAAAAAAGUAGUCUCAGUUCGGAUUGAAGGCUGAAAUUCGCCUUCAUGAAGCCGGAAUUGCUAGUAAUGGCAGGUCAGCAUACUGCCGUGAAUACGUUCCCGGGCC
rnacentral:rRNA from 1 species